GACGAACGCUGGCGGCGUGCCUAAUACAUGCAAGUCGAGCGGACGGAUGGGAGCUUGCUCCCAGACCGUCAGCGGCGGACGGGUGAGUAACACGUGGGCAACCUGCCUGUAAGACUGGGAUAACUCCGGGAAACCGGGGCUAAUACCGGAUAACUCUUUCCCUCACAUGAGGGAAAGCUGAAAGAUGGCAUCUCGCUAUCACUUACAGAUGGGCCCGCGGCGCAUUAGCUAGUUGGUGAGGUAACGGCUCACCAAGGCGACGAUGCGUAGCCGACCUGAGAGGGUGAUCGGCCACACUGGGACUGAGACACGGCCCAGACUCCUACGGGAGGCAGCAGUAGGGAAUCUUCCGCAAUGGACGAAAGUCUGACGGAGCAACGCCGCGUGAGUGAUGAAGGUUUUCGGAUCGUAAAACUCUGUUGCCAGGGAAGAACAAGUACCGGAGUAACUGCCGGUACCUUGACGGUACCUGACCAGAAAGCCACGGCUAACUACGUG
rnacentral:rRNA from 1 species